UGUGGAUAGACAUUUCUAAGUGUAUGAAAGAAAAAAAAUAUAAUUUUACAGGCAAUCAAUGCAAUAAUAAAAUGGAUGCAUUGAAGAGACGAUAUCGUCAAAUUGUUGACCAUAAUGCUCAAAGUGGAAACGAUAGAAAAGAUUGGAUAUAUUUAGAUGUAUUAGAUAAUAUUUUUCGAAAAAAACAUUGGAUAAAACCAUUAUCUGUAGCAGGAUCAAAUAUUAAAGAACCUGAACAUUCUCCAUUAACUGACAACAGUGAUGAGAAUGAAACAGCAGUUAGUAAGUAAAGAAAUGCAAUGUACAAUAUGUUUAAUAAUUUACUAGUUUGCAAGCAAUCCAACAGAAAAAAAACGCACCAUGUACCGUUGGUUUAAUUAUAGGUUUGUUCUUUAUAACUAUACUGGGACUGCACUACUAAGGAUAGUACAGGCCAAACUAUCUAUGUUUUGUACUAUCCCGUUUUAAUACAGUCCCAGUGCAGCAAUAAAGAACAAAAUAAGAAAUUUCACAUUUUUUUUUAAAUGUAUACUUUUCUAUAAUUAAUUUUGUAUAUAGAGCAAAGAAAAAUCUCAUUAACUGAAGCAAGAGCAAAUUAUUUGACACUUUCAUUAGAAGAAAAAAGACUAAAAAGAAAAGAAACUGCCAAUUAUAGAGCUACAAAGUUACAAAUAUUAAGAGAAAUAAAAGAAGCAUUAGGGAAACAGAAACAAUAGUAAUAUGCAUAUAUGAAGAGAAAAUGUAAAAAGAGAAAAAAAAACAUGCAUUUGCAAGAAUU